GUUAGGCAGGUCAUGUUACACAUCAGAAGCUUAUCUCCCCCCUCCUCCUAGUCUUAUGGUAUUAUGUGACAUUUAGAAUCAAUGAAAAUUGUUGCUCUGCACGAUUAUUUUUUUAAGAGGAGCAAAAGUAAAGGAAGCAAGAAUAUAUGUAUCAGGUGAAAUUACCUAGAUGAUGGGAGAUGAGAGGGAAAUAGAGAGAUUUGACCUUGUUCUGCACUUAGAGGUCACAUUAGUAAUGACAGACCAUUAUAUCAGAUCUGAGUCUCUUUUGCUGUAGAGCUGAUUGUGUGCGUGUGUCGUAGGCCAACAAGCUGCAAAGAAAGGAGAAAUUCUGUGAGCAAACAACACAGUGAUGAAUUCGAGCUGUUCCUACCAGGCACAACAAUACUGUUUUCCAAAGAGCAAGAUACAAAGAUUUUCCUUUUCAAAGGAGUUGAACAAGGCAGCGUGAGAAAACAACAAUGUGAGGCGUUUCAGAUUGCCUAAUUAGAAAUCUGAAGGUUACGAGGAAUGUUGGGGAGGCAUGCUGCACAGAUGAAGAACCUUUGCUUCUCUUUGUUCAUUUUCACAGGCAGAAAUGGAAGACACUGAAUGUUUCCAAGAUGCUUUCAUUUCUGCUUGUUCACCUAAGCAAUCAAGUGCUGCAAAUUUCACAAUAUUGAGGAAAUUUAGAGAGUUGUGGAAUGAAUUUUGGCUAACAUGUUAUCUCUCCUAAACCAUUCAAACACAUUCAUACAGUGGAGGCUGAUGUAUUAGGGCAAAUGAGGCUGCCACCAGCUCUCACUUACCUGCCUCCUUAACUGCAACCAGUCCAGAGGGUGGCACUGCUUUUCAGCUUCCUUCUUCUGAGUCUUGCCAGCCUGUGCUCAGGUUGGGUAAUUGUGUAAAUAUAACCAUAUAUGCUGAAGACACCACAGUCUCUAUUGCCCUUCAUUCCCAGGAAACUGGACGCCAAAUAAGCGUGGGCACCCCGAGAGUUUCUCUCUACUCAGAGAUUGGGCUGGUAUGUAACAAUAUGGUUAUUGUUUAUUUUAUGGUAGAGAUUCCUGCAUUGCAGGGAGUGGACUAGAUAAUGCCCAGAGGCCCAUUGCUAUAAUUCUAUGAUUCUAAGAACACGGAGUGGGGUGUAUCUGGUGUUAGGAGAGGGGUAGUUAUGAGUUACUGGCCUCUGCUGCCCCAGCAGGUGCUAUGCUUCUCCAGCCUUGGAGGUGCACUUCAUUAUUUCUUGACACAGACAGAUGCCAACACGAACAUGGAGACAAUGGGAAGAAAGGCUUCCACAGCACCAUGGAUAGCUCUGUGUUAAGGAUUCAUAUUGGAGGCUUCCUAGGUAAAAGGUAAAGGGACCCCUGACCGUUAGGUCCAGUCGCGGAUGACUCUGGGGUUGCGGCGCUCAUCUCGCCGGCGGAGGGAGCCGGCGUACAGCUUCCAGGUCAUGUGGCCAGCAUGACUAAGCCACUUCUGGCGAACCAGAGCAGUGCAUGGAAAAAGCCGUCUACCUUCCUGCCAGAGUGGUACCUAUUUAUCUACUUGCACUUUGAACGUGCUUUGAACUCUUAGGUUGGCAGGAGCAGGGACCGAGCAAUGGGAGCUCAACCCAUCACAGGGGUUCGAACUGCUGACCUUCUGAUUGGCAAGCCCUAGGCUCUGUGGUUUAGACCACAGCAUCACCCGCAUCCCAGAGGCUUCCUAGAGCAGAGCUCAAAUGUUGUUUCAGCAGCAGUCAUUCUCAGACUGAAUCUUAAAUAGGAAUAGCAGCCCUGAAGCUUUCUAAUGCAGAAAAACUGGAAAUAUCAAUCUAAAACAAGCAAUUGUAUGAAUUUUGUUACUUUUUAUUAGGUGUUAUUUUUGUGGUUGUGUUUUUCGUUGUUGUGUUUUCAAAUGUAACCUGUCCUUGGCCUUAAGGUGAAGUGCGGGUAAUAAAUAAUAAUAAUGGUUAUUAACAUUAUUAAUUAAAAUGUAUUAGGGCUAUUAUUAAUAAUAUUAGCCAAAGUGAUUACAAAUUAUUAAUGGCCAGUUGCGGGUUAGUCAUUGGCUAAUUGAUGGAUUAAGCCUCCCCAUGCCAGGAUUUUGUUUCAUUGCUAAUUGUGCUGACUUAUUAUUUAAAAAGUGUUAUUCUUGCAGAUAAUUUAUGAACUACCUGCCAAACCACUGUCUCAAGGCAUUUUAUGCAUAUAAUAAAUAAAAAAACAAUUCAAAGCAAAAACUGCAUUUAAAACAAGACUGGAUGGUUAUUAAAUAACUAUGGUGUGGUGUGUUAUGGAGAGGUAAGAGAGGGAAAACAUCAUCACCACCACCAUAGUAAAGGUAACGGGACCCCUGACCAUUUGGUCCAGUUGUGACCGACUCUGGGGUUGCGGCGCUCAUCUCGCUUUAUUGGCCGAGGGAGCCAGCGUACAGCUUCCGGGUCAUGUGGCCAGCAUGACUAAGCCGCUUCUGGCGAAUCAGAGCAGCACAAGGAAAUGCCGUUUACCUUCCCGCCAGAGCGGUACCUAUUUAUCUACUUGCACUUUGACACGCUUUUGAACUGCUAGGUUGGCAGGAGCAGGGACUGAGCAACGGGAGCUCACCCCGUUGCAGGGAUUCAAACCGCCGACCUUCUGAUCGGCAAGUCCUAGGCUCUGCAGUUUAACCCACAGUGCCACCUGCAUCCCCCGACCAUCACCAUAGAACCCCACUAUUCCCCAAUUCUGGUUUACUGCUGACAAUACUAGCGAGUAUAUUACUUAUUAUUAAUUGCUCAUGAUAAUGAUGAUGAGGUCAUGUGUUAUGAGAAGGUGAGAGGUAUAAUUAGAAUCCUGAUAGCCUGCGUUGUACCCAUUGCUACUUAUGCUUAGAGUAAACCCAUUAGAAGUGAGGUGGGCUAUUGGGUUGUUUUUAUUAUAUUAUGUAUUUUGCAUUCUCAUUUUGCAUUUUUCUGUUAUUAACCACCCUGGGUUCUUCAGAUGUGGCACAGUAUACAAAUGUAAUAAAUAAAACAGAUAAAAUAAAAUCUCAGUAGCCAGCUUCAGUGAAAUGAACCUCUCCAUUUAAAGGGGCCCAGUCUGCUGCAGAAGUUGUUGAUGCCAGUGGAGCAGGGACACUUUGGUUCCAGCAGGGCUUCUGAGUUGGUUUCUUCAGAGUAAGAGGUGGGUAAUGCAAUGUCCUUUGGGCUUUUGAGGUACUUUCACAACCAGUUCCUCUUGUACAAGUGCUUCUGGUUUAUCUGGUACAUCUGGAGUUGGUUGUGGAGGCGAUUCCAUCUCUCUCUCUGAAUCUGCAGCUGCAUCCUCUGAAGAAGAGGUUGUACAGUAUUCUUCAACUCCAAGCCUUGUCACAUAUUCUGUUCACAAACGUUUCCAUAACAUUGCCUGCUAUGCACUGUUGUUACCUCCUCUGCCCAUUCUUUUGUAUCAUCUCAUCCAUUCUUGAUUCCUUCAGUUAUUCCUCAGAGGCCUUGUUUCCCAUCCAUUUGUCUUCCUUUAAGAACUCUUGGUUCUCAACCACAAUGCUCUCUUCAAUCUAUCUUCUUCUCAGUGUAAAUACCUGGGGAGCAAAACUUGAAAACAACUUUCCUGCUGUGAAUUGACAUUGAGUUAUAUGGUGUGGAUGGUGGUUAUAUCAGGGAACACAAGAAGCAGUUCUGUGAACAGGGCCCAAGCUCAUUGCUUUUCAAUGAAAACUUUCUGACCCCUAUAUUCUGCUGUCCACAGUGGUGUACUUCAGAAUCCUUUGACCAAUGUAUAAAUGAAUGAUUUAGCUACUGUUGACAUAGCAGUCAUGGCAGUCUGUGUUUUCUGAGUACAUUAAGAAUGAUUAUGUCAUUGAAUUGAUUAAUCACAAUUUAACUUAGUUUUGCAGUAAUUCAAGUUCUGGUUGAUUUUCCCCAGUUUGACACCUGCUGGUCUGGGAGCCUGAAUUUCCACCUCAUGCUUAUGUGUAGGAGUAGGAUAUUAUAUUUUUGAAAGGCAGGGAGAGAUGGAAGGAGAAGUCCAUUUUAAAUAUACACGGAAUUUGACAAUUUUGACCCAAUCAAGAUUUGCCUGCCAUGGUCUGCCUGUUGCAUCAGGUGAGUGCUUAUGUCUGAAUUGCUCAUGCACUGUCAAUUAAAAACCAGAAACAACCUCCUGACUAAUUACAGGCAAAAGUAUAUGUAAAAAAAAAUACUUAUAAGCACUAUUUUCUGUAUCCGUUUAUGUGCCGUUUAUGUUAGGAAACAUGAGGUGCAUAUGCCUUUAAGUAAGUUAUUAUGUGUAUAAUAAUGCAGAUAAUACGUAAGAAUUGUUCAUAUUUUUAGGAAUGAGGAACUGGUCCUCAUUUUUCAUUGAGAUGGGAAUCUAUGUAGUUCAACUCAACUUUAAGAGUUUUUAGAAAAUCCCAUCACUAAAAGCAGAGAUGGAGAAUUUGUGGCCUUCUGUAUCUUGUUGGAGGCCGUCAGCCUCAGCAGGGAUUACGGGAGAUGGUACGAAACAUCCGAAGGGCCACAGGUUUCACAUCCUUGGUGAAAAAGGAGGAGGGAGUCUUAAGAAGAUCUUUUUAAAGAUGUGUUGAAAUUUUCCUGUUUAUGUUUUGAAUUAAUUUAAACAGGUCUUUGCUAUGUCAACAUGAGAAUGCUUGUGGGAUGCUCUCCCCAGGGAGGAUCGCCUGGUGCCUUUGUGACACUGGGCAAAAACAUUCUUCUCCUCCCUGGCCUUUGGCUAAUUAAACCAUCUAUGGCCUUUUAAACUGGUGUGUGUGUGUGUGUUGUUUUGGUUUGCUAUUAUUUUAUGUAUUGUUGUGUUUUUAUAUUGUGAACCACCCUCUGAUCCUUGGAUGAAGUGCAGUAUUGAAUUUUAAAAACAAACAAACAAACAAACAAACAAACAAACAAACAAUUUAUAACCCACCCUUCAUUUGUGUAGUUACCAGGGUAAAGGUAAAGGGACCCUUGACCAUUCGGUCCAGUUGUGGAUGACUCUGGGGUUGUGGCGCUCAUCUCGCUUUACUGGACGAGGGAGCCGGUGUACAGCUUCCGGGUCAUGUGGCCAGCACGACUAAGCCGCUUCUGGAGAAACCAGAGCAGCACACAGAAGCGCCGUUUACCUUCCCGCCGGAGCGGUACCUAUUUAUCUACUUGCAGUAGACGUGCUUUCAAACUGCUAGGUUGGCAGGAGCAGGGACCGAGCAACGGGAGCUCACCCCAUCGCAGGGAUUCGAACCGCUGACCUCAUGAUCAGCAAGUCCUAGGCUCUGUGGUUUAGGCCACAGCGCCACCCGCGUCCACCAGGGUAAGGUACAACACAUUAAAUGAACAAAUGUAAAAUAGCCAACCAUAGAACAGAAUUCAUAAAAAAAAAAGAUAGGUAGGCAGCUAAAGUUGGAAAUACUUAGACUUAAUCACUGAAGAAUUAGUGGGUUGCAUUACCAUAGGAUACAUGGAAAAAAAACAUUCAGGAGAUACUGAGCAACAGUAGCAUGGAAUCUGAAAUUUGGUGGAAUAUGGACAGCUAGUCCUUCUAGUUUAGCAUUCACAACACUGACUGACAGUUGUUCUCUGUGGGGAGAUAUUCCCAGCUCUACUUGCAGAUGCUGGGAAUUCAGCUGGGGACCUGCUGUACACAAAGCAGAUGCUGUGCAACUGAGCCAUGGCCCAACACAUCUAAUAAGAUCAUAGAAAGUUGGCUUUUACUGAGUCAGAACAUUGUCCCAUCUGGCUUAGUAUUGCCCGCACUACCAGCGGUCUCCAGGGUUUCAGGCAGGUGUCUCUCUCAGCCCCACCUGAAGUUGCCAGUGACUGAACCUAGGACCCAGAAGGGAAGGGAUUUCCCAUGUUCUCUCCCUAGAUUGUGUUCUUGAGUACAUCUUAUGGGACUAUAAUCAUAAACCAUGAAAUUGCAGGUAUCUGAUAAGCACUGUGCAUAUCCUUUCUUCCCCUAGAGUUCUAGAAUGUUAGAGGUUUUUAAAGAUGUAUAAUAGGGUAAAAUCUGAAAUGGAUCUCUUGAAGCAUAUCUAUUAGAGCACUUAGUUUAAUGCAAUUUGAAUCCCAGAGGAAAUUUCAGUAUUUCAAAACAGACUGAAAACUUGACACAGUGAAUGCUCAAGCAACAUUUUAGUUGCUGGUGGUUCAGGGCAGG
rnacentral:lncRNA from 1 species